GUAUUGAUUGCGUGUGACCGCAAAAAUAACAUUCUACACUGUAUCAAGUUUUGUGUGAAAACGUGAGCCCUCCUGCAAAGGGGACCCACGCGGUGAUGCACAAGGGGUGAAAUGGAUGUGUGAGAGUGCUCGGGCGUGCACAACCUUUAAAAGGUCAGCGACAGCCCUUGCACCUCGGUUAUACAAUAAUGAUCCUUCCGCAGGUUCACCUACGGAAA
rnacentral:misc_RNA from 1 species